rnacentral:lncRNA from 1 species
AGGGACCUGGACACAGAGUACAAGACAUGAUUUGAGAUGAGAAGAGUCACUGACAUGACUGGAUCCAAUUCCUGAAAGUCAUUAAGAAGAACCCUGGUGCCGUCGAGGUGGCCCAAAGCAACCCUUACUCAGUACCCACUGUCAAGCACCUCAUGGCCACUGGGACAAUCUCACUCCAAAGUGGUAAGCAGGGGCAGAAAGCCCUAGAGGCACUGCUCUGGAAAUGACAAAAGGAGCCACGUCACAGGUCCAACCACCACUUAUCUUCCUU